rnacentral:rRNA from 1 species
UACGUAGGUGGCGAGCGUUGUCCGGAAUUAUUGGGCGUAAAGCGCGCGUAGGCGGCUUGUCAGGUCCGACGUGAAAUCCCGGGGCUCAACCCCGGACGUGCGUCGGAAACCGGCUUGCUUGAGUCUGGGAGAGGGAAGUGGAAUUCCUGGUGUAGCGGUGAAAUGCGCAGAUAUCAGGAGGAACACCGGUAGCGAAGGCUGCUUCCUGGAACAGUACUGACGCUGAGGCGCGAAAGCUAGGGGAGCGAACAGGAUUAGAUACC